rnacentral:rRNA from 1 species
GAUGAACGCUGGCGGCGUGCCUAAUACAUGCAAGUCGAGCGAACGGACGAGAAGCUUGCUUCUCUGAUGUUAGCGGCGGACGGGUGAGUAACACGUGGAUCACCUACCUAUAAGACUGGGAUAACUUCGGGAAACCGGUGCUAAUACUGGCUAAUAUUUUGAACCGCAUGGUUCAAAAGUGAAAGACGGUCUUGCCGUCACUUAUAGAUGGAUUCGCGCUGCAUUAGCUAGUUGGUAAGGUAACGGCUUACCAAGGCAACGAUGCAUAGCCGACCUGAGAGGGUGAUCAGCCACACUGGAACUGAGACACGGUCCAGACUCCUACGGGAGGCAGCAGUAGGGAAUCUUCCGCAAUGGGCGAAAGCCUGACGGAGCAACGCCGCGUGAGUGAUGAAGGUCUUCGGAUCGUAAAACUCUGUUAUUAGGGAAGAACAGAUGUGUAAGUAACUGUGCACAUCUUGACGGUACCUAAUCAGAAAGCCACGGCUAACUACGUG